AGGUGGGGAAUAUCAGAUGUUUACAUCGAUGUCUAGCCGCCAGGUUUUUGUUUACUAACACUUAACCGCAAACGAUUCUAGUUAUCGUGUAAUUCUAUGCAAAUGUGCUGGUUUACAAGAUAUUUUGAACAUUGUAUCGGCUUUCCUAAAGUCGUGGGUGGCUUCUCACGGUUUUUUUCUCUUCCCUCCUGCCACUGCAAGCACGGAUCCCAAACAUUGAGCCUUUGCGCAUGCGCUGAAGGUAGGGCAGAAGCACUGGGUCGACUCCUGGCCAGAAACAAAUAAAUGUGAGGUCAGAUGGUGUCUUGUCACACUUAGCCCUGGCUGAUGGUCUUCGCACGUGCGUCUCUCCGAGGGUGUUAUUCCACAAACGUUUUCUGCUGCCAGAGACUGUUUCAUUGUCUGCCUGCCUCUCCUCUUCAAGCAACACAUCGCAAUACAAGACUUAACACUAGAGUUCAUCAAAGAUUUUCUUGAAACUUUAGCCUUGCUGUCCAAAGUACAGGGUUAGUUGAAUUAUAUUGUAGUUAAAACGUUGUCACUUGUACGAGUGUUUUGAUACUAAACAUCCAAUCUAAGUUCCAUUGUCGCCGAAAUAUUGAGACCAACAGAAAAAAAGCGAAACUUGUUAUCUUUGGCAGGAAAGGUUUGGAAAAGUGCCACACGUGACUAUAGGUAAAAUAUAGACAAGCAGAGCAGUGCGAAAUACAACUGUCACAGCCAUAAAAGAAUUUAAGAAGCAUCCACAACAACCAAGAAAACAGACGAGAAACCUGAGCAAAGAAAAUGAACAGAAGCGGCAUCUGGUUGUUUACACUUUGUCUGCUGGUCGGCCUUGCCCUCGCUCAUCCAUUUACAGUAGACGACGACGACGUUUCUGAUGACGUUUCUGACGACCGUUCUAUGCUACCCUUUGUACUUCGGCAAGCCCCACUCCGGAGCCAGAUCUCCUGGCUGUCACGUGACCGGAAGGGCAAGGCCCUCUAUCCGGCAGCAGGAAAAGAGAAGCGGGCAGGGCUCGGUCGCUGCAUUCAUAACUGCAUGCACAGCGGCGGCGGUCUCAACUUCAUGCAGUGCAAGAUCAUGUGUCUGUGAGCCCUUCUGGACCUCAGGGCACAGUGUCCUGUUCAUUCAAGGACUUCAUUAGACACAUCAAGGGGAGAAUGCAAGGUGCCAGAGAUGUCUGCUGACUUGAUGUUGCUGGAAGCUGACAUGCCUGUCAAAGGCCAACUCCACCUGAACUCAAGAUACCGCGAAUAUAAAGCAUUCCAUAUUGCAUUUGCUUCUGACAACAGUUCUGAAGCUCGAGUUUCUUCAUUUUGUAAAUAAUUCGUGCUUAAUAAUUGUGUCUAUUUUAAAGCAAAGCUAAUGAGAAUUUGAAUUUCCAUUCAAUUCCUGUUGGCUUCUCACUCGUUUGUUUAUGGUCGCUCGUUUGUGCUUACACACACACACAAAGGUACAUAAAUCAGUAGCUCUGUUUUUCAUUGUACCUUUAUCUGCCUCUAUACCAUGAAGUAUUUCUUGUAAAUAAGGCUACCAACAGGAUUGUGACUUUUGUGAAAACAAAAACUCUUUUACACUUUCCUAUGCCUGAACCCACCCACCCACUCACUUUGUCCGUCCUUCUGUCAUUCUGUGUCCGAUGUAUGUAUGUAUGAUUUCUUUGUAGAACAUAUCCAUCUUUAUCUUCAAAUACGCGUAAAAAAUUAAAUGCCAUCAGUACUCUCACUUUUUUUCUCCUCUCUACUUCUAUAUCUGUGGAAAAUCUUAAUUCCACUGGUGCAUUGGUGUUUUCAGUUUUUACGUGAGUCUGACUCUUUCAAGGUUUUAUUUGCUUUCAAAACCAAGACAGCAUGCAAAUGUAAUCUGCUUUCAUAAUAUCACAUAAAGCUCCUAUCCUUUUCUUUCGGAUUCCUUUUCAUAUUUCAGUAUUCCACGAAAACUAGUUUAUGAUCAUAAGUGAAACUACAAAACUAGAAACUCUGAAACUACAAAAAAAUCAUAUUCUUAUAAUGUACAGAGGCCUCAGACCUCCUUUUUGCAUUUACAGAAUCUAUUUUUAAACAGAACGACGCUCUCAACAGAAAGUGUGGCCGUGUAUGGUCGACACAGAAACAAUAAAAUUUGUUUCAGCCAAUGUAAUGCUUUCAUGGGAUCAUAUGCUCGCAUCUAAGUUCUGGUUAGCUUGGCGUCUUGCUGGGAUUUCCUGGCCGGUGACUCUCUGGUUGUAUUAGUCACACCUACGAUGUUGUUGUGAACCAGUAAAAAAAAAACCAACCUUGGCCUCCUCAA
rnacentral:lncRNA from 1 species